ensembl:lncRNA coiled-coil domain containing 14
GUGGUGUCGUCGGGGAGGCUAACUGGAGCAGUUGAAGCUAAUCGGUGAGUACAUCAUCUUUAAUAUGGCAACUCGGUCAAUGUAUCUUACAGCUGUUGUAUAUUAGUGUAACUUUAGGUGCAGCAGCAGCCAGCACUGAACCGGCCUAUUCUCUGUACUCCACAGACUCCGAGGAUCAGGUAAUGAAGUCACCACGCUCCAUAAAGGUCUGGACAGAUGUGCUGUGCUGCUCAGUGGCAUCCUCCAGGCAGAAAAAGCAGGUUCGCCAAGUUUUCCCAGGAUGGUGAAAAGCGUGAAAAGUUCUGCCUCUCUAGGAAGGAACAUUAUUAAGGAACCGCCUACAAAGACGGCUCCAAACCACCAAAAGAGCUCCCCGUCAGCCACCGCGACUCCUGGAGUGAAGCUGCAUCCGCCUCAGAAACAACCCCAUGCUCUACCAGUGCAGGGUCCUUCGCGUGGCCUCUCCCGCACCGUGCCUCCACCCCAAACCUCCGUCCUUCUGUCUAUGCACCAGACAUCCUCUCUGCCACUGCAUCACCCCAAUAGCCCGAGGUCACAAACUAAGGCAGAGCGUGACGGAGAGCAAGAGGCUGUUCAUGUGAGAGAUGUCAAAAUCCAAAGUCCAGAGGCCGACCGCAAGGGUGCACGUGGCGGGGAGGAAAGCGGCGUGGACGCCAGAGUAAAGAUGGUUCAGUCUCUGCUGUCAGAGCUCAGGACUCUUAUCACUGGACAAGGCAGCGUCACGGAGAAGCUGCUCAGUCACCUGGAACAAACUGUGUCCUCACCACAGACCAACAUCCAGACUGAGUAUGCACAAGAGCUAUCAUCGCUGCAGAGCGAGAACGCUCAGCUCCGCCGGCGUGUGAAGAUUCUGAACCAGCAAUUAAAAGAGAGAGAAAAGGUGGAGAAACAUCAAAACCUGGAAAUACUCUGCACCUCAGAUGCACUUAGUCUGCAGGAGGAGCUGUUCACGGCUCGAUCCAGACUGCGGGAGCUCCAGGACGAUCUCGCCGGACUACAGAAAUCCCUUCAAUACACGCAGAGCCAGCUGAGAGGCAGAGAAUGCACUCUUGAAGAACGGAUUGGAGGCCACUCGAAGCAGGUUGAUGAACAGCGAGCAAGAGAAGAGCGAGCCAGCUUCACUCAGCCAGCAAAGACCAGAGGAGAUCAGAAACCUGAGCAGGCUUUUCCAGAGCUCAUCGGUCCAUUGUCCCAGCCACCGCCAGCGCGGACAGGAUCCUCCAUCAAAUCCUGGCAUCACAACUCAGCCAGAGGUAGAGUUUAACUCCACGCUGUCCCAGUGCGAUGUGGAGUCAAUGUGCUCCGAUUGGAGCAUGAGGUCAGAGUCCAGCUUCAACACCAGAGACGAGGCUGCUUUCAGGGACAGCCUGGCAGCUCUGGACGCCAGCAUAGCCAGUCUGCAGAAGACUAUUCGACUGGAAGUGAGGAGGUGAAGCAGUGGCCUGUAUUAGCAAC